rnacentral:misc_RNA from 1 species
GUAGGUGAACCUGCGGAGGGAUCAUUACUGAGUGAGGGAGCAAUCCCGACCUCCAACCCUUUGUGAACGCAUCAUGUUGCUUCGGGGGCGACCCUGCCGUUUGCGGCAUUCCCCCCGGAGGUCAUCAAAACACUGCAUCUUUACGUCGGAGUAUAAAGUUAAUUUAAUAAAACUUUCAACAACGGAUCUCUUGGCUCUG